CCAGUAGCGGCGAGCGAACGGGGAGGAGCCCAGAGUCUGAAUCAGUGUGUGUGUUAGUGGAAGCGUCUGGAAAGGCGUGCGAUACAGGGUGACAGCCCCGUACACAAAAAUGCACAUAUUGUGAGCUCGAUGAGUAGGGCGGGACACGUGGUAUCCUGUCUGAAUAUGGGGGGACCAUCCUCCAAGGCUAAAUACUCCUGACUGACCGAUAGUGAACCAGUACCGUGAGGGAAAGGCGAAAAGAACCCCGGCGAGGGGAGUGAAAAAGAACCUGAAACCGUGUACGUACAAGCAGUGGGAGCCUCUUAAUGGGGUGACUGCGUACCUUUUGUAUAAUGGGUCAGCGACUUAUAUUCUGUAGCAAGGUUAACCGAAUAGGGGAGCCGAAGGGAAACCGAGUCUUAACUGGGCGUUAAGUUGCAGGGUAUAGACCCGAAACCCGGUGAUCUAGCCAUGGGCAGGUUGAAGGUUGGGUAACACUAACUGGAGGACCGAACCGACUAAUGUUGAAAAAUUAGCGGAUGACUUGUGGCUGGGGGUGAAAGGCCAAUCAAACCGGGAGAUAGCUGGUUCUCCCCGAAAGCUAUUUAGGUAGCGCCUCGUGAAUUCAUCUCCGGGGGUAGAGCACUGUUUCGGCAAGGGGGUCAUCCCGACUUACCAACCCGAUGCAAACUGCGAAUACCGGAGAAUGUUAUCACGGGAGACACACGGCGGGUGCUAACGUCCGUCGUGAAGAGGGAAACAACCCAGACCGCCAGCUAAGGUCCCAAAGUCAUGGUUAAGUGGGAAACGAUGUGGGAAGGCCCAGACAGCCAGGAUGUUGGCUUAGAAGCAGCCAUCAUUUAAAGAAAGCGUAAUAGCUCACUGGUCGAGUCGGCCUGCGCGGAAGAUGUAACGGGGCUAAACCAUGCACCGAAGCUGCGGCAGCGACACUAUGUGUUGUUGGGUAGGGGAGCGUUCUGUAAGCCUGUGAAGGUGGCCUGUGAGGGUUGCUGGAGGUAUCAGAAGUGCGAAUGCUGACAUAAGUAACGAUAAAGCGGGUGAAAAGCCCGCUCGCCGGAAGACCAAGGGUUCCUGUCCAACGUUAAUCGGGGCAGGGUGAGUCGACCCCUAAGGCGAGGCCGAAAGGCGUAGUCGAUGGGAAACAGGUUAAUAUUCCUGUACUUGGUGUUACUGCGAAGGGGGGACGGAGAAGGCUAUGUUGGCCGGGCGACGGUUGUCCCGGUUUAAGCGUGUAGGCUGGUUUUCCAGGCAAAUCCGGAAAACCAAGGCUGAGGCGUGAUGACGAGGCACUACGGUGCUGAAGC
rnacentral:rRNA from 1 species